GUUGUUUGGCCGGGUCACGCCACACAUUUUUUAAACUAGAUACCCCAAUGAUGAUUGUAACCAAGUUUGGUUUAAUUUGGCCCAGUAGUUUCAGAGAAGAAGAUUUUUGUAAAAGAUUACUAAGAUUUACGAAAAAAUGGUUAAAAAUUGACUAUAAAGGGCAAUAACUCCUAAAGGGGUCAACUGACCAUUUUGGUCAUGCUGACUUAUUUG
rnacentral:lncRNA from 1 species